rnacentral:rRNA from 1 species
AGCAGUGGGGAAUUUGACAUGGCGUAGCUGAUCAGCAUGCCGCGUGUGUGAGAAGGCUUCGGUGUAAAGCACUUCAGUGAGGAGGAAGGCUUUCAGAUUAAUACUCUGGAGGAUUGACGUCACUCACAGAAGAAGCACCGGCUAACUCCGUGCCAGCAGCCGCGGUAAUACGGAGGGUGCAAGCGUUAAUCGGAAUUACUGGGCGUAAAGCGCGCGUAGGUGGUUGAGUAAGCGAGAUGUGAAAGCCCCGGGCUUAACCUGGGAACGGCACUUCGAACUGCUCGGCUAGAGUGUGGUAGAGGGUAGUGGAAUUUCCUGUGUAGCGGUGAAAUGCGUAGAUAUAGGAAGGAACACCAGUGGCGAAGGCGGCUACCUGGACCAACACUGACACUGAGGUGCGAAAGCGUGGGGAGCAAAUAGGAUUAGAUACCCUGGUAGUCCACGCCGUAAACGAUGUCAACUAGCCGUUGGGGAUCUUGAAUCCUUAGUGGCGCAGCUAACGCACUAAGUUGACCGCCUGGGGAGUACGGCCGCAAGGUUAAAACUCAAAUGAAUUGACGGGGGCCCGCACAAGCGGUGGAGCAUGUGGUUUAAUUCGACGCAACGCGAAGAACCUUACCUGGCCUUGACAUGCAGAGAACUUUCCAGAGAUGGAUUGGUGCCUUCGGGAACUCUGACACAGGUGCUGCAUGGCCGUCGUCAGCUCGUGUCGUGAGAUGUUGGGUUAAGUCCCGUAACGAGCGCAACCCCUAUCCCUAGUUGCUAGCAGUUCGGCUGAGAACUCUAGGGAGACUGCCGGUGACAAACCGGAGGAAGGUGGGGAUGACGUCAGGUCAUCAUGGCCCUUACGGCCAGGGCUACACACGUGCUACAAUGGUGCGUACAGAGGGUUGCAAACCCGCGAGGGGGAGCCAAUCUCACAAAACGCAUCGUAGUCCGGAUCGGAGUCUGCAACUCGACUCCGUGAAGUCGGAAUCGCUAGUAAUCGGAAUCAGAAGC